GACGUAGGGUGCAAGCGUUGUCCGGAUUUAUUGGGCGUAAAGAGCUCGUAGGCGGCUUGGCAAGUCGGGUGUGAAACCUCCAGGCUCAACCUGGAGACGCCACUCGAUACUGCUAUGGCUAGAGUCCGGUAGGGGACCACGGAAUUCCUGGUGUAGCGGUGAAAUGCGCAGAUAUCAGGAGGAACACCGGUGGCGAAGGCGGUGGUCUGGGCCGGCACUGACGCUGAGGAGCGAAAGCGUGGGUAGCAAACAGG
rnacentral:rRNA from 1 species